rnacentral:rRNA from 1 species
UACGGAGGGUGCGAGCGUUGUCCGGAAUCACUGGGCGUAAAGAGCGCGUAGGCGGUCCGAUAAGUCGGCUGUGAAAGUCAGGGGCUCAACCCUUGAAAGCCGGCCGAUACUGUCGGACUAGAGUCCGGAAGAGGCAAGUGGAAUUCCCGGUGUAGCGGUGAAAUGCGCAGAUAUCGGGAGGAACACCAAUGGCGAAGGCAGCUUGCUGGGACGGUACUGACGCUGAGGCGCGAAAGCGUGGGGAGCAAACAGGG